rnacentral:pre_miRNA from 1 species
GAAAGUUAAGAAACUGUUUCUUAACUUUUAACUAAAAAAGCUAAGAUCUUAAAUAAAGACUUUAAGAACCGAUUAUUAGUUUUUUUUAGUUAAAAGUUAAGAAACAGAUUCUUAACUUCC